rnacentral:rRNA from 1 species
CGGGACACGUGGUAUCCUGUCUGAAUAUGGGGGGACCAUCCUCCAAGGCUAAAUACUCCUGACUGACCGAUAGUGAACCAGUACCGUGAGGGAAAGGCGAAAAGAACCCCGGCGAGGGGAGUGAAAAAGAACCUGAAACCGUGUACGUACAAGCAGUGGGAGCACGCUUCGGCGUGUGACUGCGUACCUUUUGUAUAAUGGGUCAGCGACUUAUAUUCUGUAGCAAGGUUAACCGAAUAGGGGAGCCGAAGGGAAACCGAGUCUUAACUGGGCGUUAAGUUGCAGGGUAUAGACCCGAAACCCGGUGAUCUAGCCAUGGGCAGGUUGAAGGUUGGGUAACACUAACUGGAGGACCGAACCGACUAAUGUUGAAAAAUUAGCGGAUGACUUGUGGCUGGGGGUGAAAGGCCAAUCAAACCGGGAGAUAGCUGGUUCUCCCCGAAAGCUAUUUAGGUAGCGCCUCGUGAAUUCAUCUCCGGGGGUAGAGCACUGUUUCGGCAAGGGGGUCAUCCCGACUUACCAACCCGAUGCAAACUGCGAAUACCGGAGAAUGUUAUCACGGGAGACACACGGCGGGUGCUAACGUCCGUCGUGAAGAGGGAAACAACCCAGACCGCCAGCUAAGGUCCCAAAGUCAUGGUUAAGUGGGAAACGAUGUGGGAAGGCCCAGACAGCCAGGAUGUUGGCUUAGAAGCAGCCAUCAUUUAAAGAAAGCGUAAUAGCUCACUGGUCGAGUCGGCCUGCGCGGAAGAUGUAACGGGGCUAAACCAUGCACCGAAGCUGCGGCAGCGACACUAUGUGUUGUUGGGUAGGGGAGCGUUCUGUAAGCCUGUGAAGGUGUACUGUGAGGUAUGCUGGAGGUAUCAGAAGUGCGAAUGCUGACAUAAGUAACGAUAAAGCGGGUGAAAAGCCCGCUCGCCGGAAGACCAAGGGUUCCUGUCCAACGUUAAUCGGGGCAGGGUGAGUCGACCCCUAAGGCGAGGCCGAAAGGCGUAGUCG